rnacentral:lncRNA from 1 species
CCCCGCCGAGGAGGCACCAUACCAAAGGGACGCGUCCGCUCCCAGAGCUUGGAGGAACAGGCGGUGAGAGAGAAGUGAAUCCUGGAAGAUGACCAGACGGGAAGAGAUGGGUUCGUGAAAUCGUGAAAUCGUCGAUCAAGGCAUCAGGGGAUGGUAGCCCGUAGGGUUAAGGCCUCAAGGUUUUUUUUUCUUUUAUUGGGUGGGCUAUUGGGCCUGCAGGUGGGUCAGGCCACAGGUGUGCAU